GCUUGAUUGUGAGGAAGGAGGGUCAAAGACAGGUGAGCAGCGGCAGACAACAUUGACUUCUUGCUUGGGCAUCUGGUCAACAGAGAGCGUGCCCUUCCCAUCACAACAAAAAGUCUGCAGGUAAAGACCAACUCUGCCAGCGGCGCGUCUCCAGCCUCUGCCGACGUUCCACUGGCAAAGCGUGCCUCAACUCCGGCCAACUCAGAUUCAAGAGUAAGCAAGAAAAAACGCCCCGGGAGGCUGUGCCAUUCUGUGCUGUGGAUCCGGCAGUUGAAGAACUAACUGUGACCCUGCCGCCCAGCUUAGGACUAUAUUGUGACCAUCGGCAGGGAUGCGGGUGUUCUAAAGAGACACGCGUAUCCCUCCUGUAGUUUCAAUCAGACAAUUGAAACAGUGGUCCCUAAGAAAUUGGAAUUUCCCCGGAAAUCACGUGCAAAAAGGAGGAGAAGGUGGUGCCCGCCAGAGGGAGAGCUCGUCUCCUGGGACGAGGCUUCGCACAGCUGGCAGCUGCCAAGACCACCUUGGGAGAGACUGGGCAUGGGACAGUGAUGGGAGCGGCUACAUCUGACCAGGGCUGCUCAACUCUGAGAACCCCUGGCCUCUGCUCAGUCUAAACUUCCUGUCAGGAGCCGGAAGAAGGGCUUGGGCAGGGGAGAUGGGAGUCACUGAAUCUCUGCCCCUCUACCUAGUGGGACCACUUGAAAAAAUACCCGCCUGUUCCCCUGGGGGCUGGGGAGAUGGUCUAUUGAUUAAGAGUACUAGCUGUUCUUCCAGAUGACCCGAGUUCAGUUCCCAGCACGCACAUGUCAGCUCACAACAGGCCCAGGGAUCUAAUGACCUCUUAUGGCCUCUUCAGACACUACACAUAUGUGAUACACAGACAUACAUGGAGACAAAAACUCAUACACAUAAAACAAUAAAAUAAAAUUUUUAAAUAUA